rnacentral:sRNA from 1 species
GGAAGGACAGCACAGCCUACAGCCGUGCUCAGGAAGUUUCUGGAUCCUAGGCUCAUCUCCACAGAGGAGAACACGCAGGCACAGAGACCAUGGGGCCCCUCUCAGCCCCUCCCUGCACACAGCGCAUCACCUGGAAGGGGCUCCUGCUCACAGCAUCACUUUUAAACUUCUGGAACCUGCCUACCACUGCCCAAGUCACGAUUGAAGCCCUGCCACCCAAAGUGUCUGAGGGGAAGGAUGUUCUUCUACUUGUCCACAAUUUGCCCCAGAAUCUAGCUGGCUACAUCUGGUACAAAGGACAACUGAUGGACCUCUACCAUUACAUUACAUCAUAUGUAGUAGACGGUCAAAUAAAUAUAUAUGGGCCUGCAUACACUGGACGAGAAACAGUAUAUUCCAAUGCAUCCCUGCUGAUCCAGAAUGUCACCCGGGAGGAUGCAGGAUCCUACACCUUACACAUCAUAAAGCGAGGUGAUAGGACUAGAGGAGUAACUGGAUAUUUCACCUUCAACUUAUACCUGAAGCUGCCCAAGCCUUACAUCACCAUCAACAACUCAAAACCCAGGGAGAAUAAGGAUGUCUUAGCCUUCACCUGUGAACCUAAGAGUGAGAACUACACCUACACCUGGUGGCUAAAUGGUCAGAGCCUCCCGGUCAGUCCCAGGGUAAAGCGACCCAUUGAAAACAGGAUCCUCAUUCUACCCAGUGUCACGAGAAAUGAAACAGGACCCUAUGAAUGUGAAAUACGGGAUGGAGAUGGUGGCAUGCGCAGUGACCCAGUCACCCUGAAUGUCCUCUGUGAGUAUCUUUUGUUCCUCUGUGGGCCAGGACACCAGCUUAAAUCUAAAUGACCACAAGCCAGUCCUCUCAGUCUUUCUCCGGUCCAAGUACAGACACCUUUACUUCUGGACAUCCGAGCUGGCCAUGACUCCCUGCCCUGGGAAAUCCUGGGUAGGCACAGCCUUAACCAAGAAUAUAAGGGGAGGGGACGCUCUUGUCAUGGGA